AUGAUAUUGGUGACAGGAUGGU
rnacentral:snRNA from 1 species